rnacentral:rRNA from 1 species
UACGUAGGGUGCAAGCGUUGUCCGGAAUUACUGGGCGUAAAGAGCUCGUAGGUGGUUUGUCGCGUUGUUCGUGAAAACUCACAGCUCAACUGUGGGCGUGCGGGCGAUACGGGCAGACUUGAGUACUGCAGGGGAGACUGGAAUUCCUGGUGUAGCGGUGGAAUGCGCAGAUAUCAGGAGGAACACCGGUGGCGAAGGCGGUUCUCUGGGCCUGUACUGACGCUGGAGGAGCGAAAGCGUGGGGAGCGAACAGG